CCCAGUGAGUAGAAACACUGAAAACAGUUCAUUCAUACGCAUUUUAUAUGAAAAUGCAUCACAACUCAAACAUUCCACAUCUUGGAUUAGACAUGACCUCAAAACUCCCUCGACGGGCUAUUGAUGUCGCCUUGGUCCAAUCCUCAUAAACAAUGAAAAUGCAAUGCACCAUAUUCGUGAUUCUAAUGCAAUCACCCUAAGAUAUAUCAUGGCAUCCAUGAUGCAUGAACUAUGCUAACAAGCAUUCUGUUAUUUUAAUAUAAAAUAUUAAGUUUAGUUCUACUCACCUCUGCUCCUCUGGCAGAAACUGUACUGACUCUGCAACUGCUAAUCCUGACGACCUCCCUGAACUGUCGG
rnacentral:lncRNA from 1 species